rnacentral:rRNA from 1 species
AUGAAUGAAAGUCUCUCAGUUCUAAACUGGAAUGUUCGCGGUCUUAACUUCACAAAUCGUCGCGCCACCGUCCACGAGACCAUUGCUGCUACCCCGUGCAACCUAGUGUGCCUCCAGGAAACGAAAUUGUCAGCGGUCAAUCCAUUCCUUGCAUCUUUCCUUGGUGGCCAGAGACUGAAGAACUUUGCUAAGAAGCCGGCGGAUGGAACAAAAGGGGGAAUUCUUCUUCUAUGGAAUGAAGAUUACAUCAAGCCGGACAAUAUUUCUGUUGGAAACUUUUGUAUCUCUGCAAAAAUCACCCUUGUCAGCACCAACACCUCCUUCAAAUUCACUUAUGUCUAUAGACCUACAAGAAGCAACCUUAAAGAUGCGUUCUUUCAAGAGCUAUUAAGCCUGAAACCACAACAGGGUACAAGAUGGCUCGUCACACGUGAUUUUAAUCAGAUUUACCGUGCCUGCAACAAAAACCGCUCUAAUGUUGACCGUAGUCGCCUUGUUCGCUUCCGAAACGCCCUCAACUCAUGUGAGCUAAAAGAGAUACAUCUACAGAAUAGGAAAUAUACAUGGAGCAAUGAGCAGGCCAACCCGGCCAACCCGACACUGAGCAAGUUAGAUAGUUUUUUCUGUAAUGAUGAUUGGGAUGUUGACUUUGGCUCUCACAUCCUUUGUGCACUAUCGUCCUCGCUCUCCGAUCACUGCCCGCUGCUACUAACUUGCGACAAGGGCCCGAAGUGACCAAAAACCUUUCGCUUUGGAAAUUUCUAGAUCAGGAUGCCUAAUUUAAAGAAAACGGUCAUUGAUGCUUGGAAUGAAGAGAUGACCCACACGGAGCCAUACCAGAUACUCUUCCACAAGCUUAAAUGAACGAGCGAACGACUGCAGACCUGGAGCAAGGCUAUCUUCUCUAACCACAAAGUCUAGCUCCACAUGGCUCUCGAGAUCAUUCUUCGCCUUGACGUCGCGCAAGAGCUAAGGACACUCAGCCCGGCUGAG